GCUGGGCAUGGUGGCACGCGCCUGUAGUCCCAGCUACUUGGGAGGCUGAGACUGAAGAAUCGCUUGAACCUGGGAGGCAGAGGUUGCAGUGAGCUGAGAUUGCGCCACUGCACUCCAGCCUNNNNNNNNNNAGGCUGGAGUGCAGUGGCGCAAUCUCAGCUCACUGCAACCUCUGCCUCCCAGGUUCAAGCGAUUCUUCAGUCUCAG
rfam:Gorilla gorilla gorilla genomic chromosome, chr1, whole genome shotgun sequence